AUUGAACGCUGGCGGCAGGCCUAACACAUGCAAGUCGAGCGGAUGAAGGGAGCUUGCUCCUGGAUUCAGCGGCGGACGGGUGAGUAAUGCCUAGGGAUCUGCCUGGUAGUGGGGGAUAACGUCCGGAAACGGGCGCUAAUACCGCAUACGUCCUGAGGGAGAAAGUGGGGGAUCUUCGGACCUCACGCUAUCAGAUGAGCCUAGGUCGGAUUAGCUAGUUGGUGGGGUAAAGGCCUAUCAAGGCGACGAUCCGUAACUGGUCUGAGAGGAUGAUCAGUCACACUGGAACUGAGACACGGUCCAGACUCCUACGGGAGGCAGCAGUGGGGAAUAUUGGACAAUGGGCGAAAGCCUGAUCCAGCCAUGCCGCGUGUGUGAAGAAGGUCUUCGGAUUGUAAAGCACUUUAAGUUGGGAGGAAGGGCAGUAAGUUAAUACCUUGCUGUUUUGACGUUACCAACAGAAUAAGCACCGGCUAACUUCGU
rnacentral:rRNA from 1 species